CCUACGGGUGGCAGCAGUGAGGAAUAUUGGUCAAUGGACGAGAGUCUGAACCAGCCAAGUAGCGUGAAGGAUGACUGCCCUAUGGGUUGUAAACUUCUUUUAUAUGGGAAUAAAAUGUUCCACGUGUGGGAUUUUGUAUGUACCAUAUGAAUAAGGAUCGGCUAACUCCGUGCCAGCAGCCUCGGUAAUACUGAGGAUCCGAGCGUUAUCCGGAGUUAUUGGGUUUAAAGGGAGCGUAGGAGGCUUGUUAAGUCAGUUGUGAAAGUUUGCGGCUCAACCGUAAAAUUGCAGUUGAAACUGGCAGUCUUGAGUACAGUAGAGGUGGGCGGAAUUCGUGGUGUAGCGGUGAAAUGCUUAGAUAUCACGAAGAACUCCGAUUGCGAAGGCAGUUCACUGGACUGCAACUGACACUGAGGCUCGAAAGUGUGGGUAUCAAACAGGAUUAGAUACCCUUGUAGUC
rnacentral:rRNA from 1 species